CAGUCGCCGCGGGAAUACGUAGGUGGCAAGCGUUGUCCGGGAUUAUUGGGCGUAAAGGGCUCGCAGGCGGUUUCUUAAGUCUGAUGUGAAAGCCCCCGGCUCAACCGGGGAGGGUCAUUGGAAACUGGGAAACUUGAGUGCAGAAGAGGAGAGUGGAAUUCCACGUGUAGCGGUGAAAUGCGUAGAGAUGUGGAGGAACACCAGUGGCGAAGGCGACUCUCUGGUCUGUAACUGACGCUGAGGAGCGAAAGCGUGGGGAGCGAACAGGAUUAGAUACCCCUGUAGUCCCUGUCUCUUAUAC
rnacentral:rRNA from 1 species